rnacentral:rRNA from 1 species
UACGUAGGGUGCGAGCGUUGUCCGGAAUUAUUGGGCGUAAAGAGCUUGUAGGCGGUCUGUCGCGUCUGCUGUGAAAAUCCGGGGCUCAACCCCGGACUUGCAGUGGGUACGGGCAGACUAGAGUGUGGUAGGGGAGACUGGAAUUCCAGGUGUAGCGGUGAAAUGCGUAGAUAUCUGGAGGAACACCGGUGGCGAAGGCGGCAUCCUGGACCGGCAUUGACGCUGAGGAGCGAAAGCCAGGGGAGCAAACGGG